UACGAAGGGGGCUAGCGUUGCUCGGAAUCACUGGGCGUAAAGCGCACGUAGGCGGAUUGCUAAGUCAGGGGUGAAAUCCUGGAGCUCAACUCCAGAACUGCCUUUGAUACUGGCGACCUUGAGUCCGGGAGAGGUGAGUGGAACUGCGAGUGUAGAGGUGAAAUUCGUAGAUAUUCGCAAGAACACCAGUGGCGAAGGCGGCCGACUGGUCCGGUUCUGACGCUGAGGCGCGAAAGCGUGGGGAGCAAACAGG
rnacentral:rRNA from 1 species